UUGUGUGGGCUCCAGUGUCUCCUGCAGGGUUCUCUGACAAGUCAGAACGCUGAGAUCUCUUUCCUCCUCUGCCUACCGCCAAGCUUCAGCCCUUUGCUUCUCCUCGUGUGAGAUUCCCAGAGAAGUUUCAACAGUCUGAUAGCCAAAGGGAAGGGUACAAUUGUUUCUCUUUAGAGUAUUUUUAUUCCUGCCAGGAUGAACGGGCAAGACAUGGCUGAGAAACAGAGAGCCACCAGGCUGAGAGGUGCCGCCAGGUGCCAGGACAAGCUUUAAGAAGGCCGAAGCCAGGAUUCUCUGCUUAGAGGCUCCAGGUCUGGAAUGGAAAGUGACAUGGCCACACCUCAAUAAACGUAGUUUUGGAGCGGAGCCAGGUCAAACACGUCUGAGCAGCUCAAAGGCCGUGUUGUUCAGGAAGUCCCUCAGAGGUAAGGGAUGGCUGCAUGAAGUAGACUGGGCAAGCUCAGGGCCAGUCUCAGGAACAUGUGGCUGCUGUCUUGACAUUACUGAUCACUUCCCAUCAGGUGUCAUUUUGUACAAGAGUGUCCCCUCCCCACAUGAUGUCCGCUGUCCUGGCAGAGCUCAGCAAAUCAGCCUGCCUCACCAAGGAGAGAUGGUUCAGACACUGGAAACCUUAAAGCAACUGAAACUGUUGGUGUUGAGAUGAUUGACACCAAUUGUCAACUUGACAGGAUCUACAGUCACUUAGGAGACAGUCUGGGCAUGCCUGUGAGGAAUUUUCUAGACUGGGUUCAUUGAAAUGACAAGACUCACCCUUAAGGUAUGCUGUGCCACUCUACAGGCUGGGCACCCUGGACUGCAUGUAAAGGAGAACCUGGACUAAACAUCGUCAGUCCCCACCUCCUCUCUCCUCUCUCUUCCCCCAUCUCUCUCCCGCCCUCCUCAGCCAUGAAUGUGAUAUAUCCAUUUGCCUCAUCUCCUGGUACCAUGACUUCCCCGCCAUGAUGGACACUACCACAGAGCAGUGAGCCAAACAGACCCUUCUUUCCUUAAGUUGCUUUGUACCAGAAAUUGUGUUGGCAAUGGAAGAAGGAACUAAUACAGAUGCCUCACAGCUCUGGGAUCCCGAGAAGACUUGUGAUCAUCAGGGAAUGGUGGAACCAGCCAGUGAGUGCUAGAGCUGCCUGGAGGAUGUGGGAAACACUUAACCCCAUCAGUGCUGGAUACAUACCCAGGAGUAAGCUUGCUGGCUCAUAGGGUCUCAACUCAUAGCUCCGUCUGGCCUCCAUCAUGUGGUAAUCCUGGGAUUACAGGAGUCUGGCACCGUGCCUAGUUCCCUUCGUUACUUAGAUAACCAUUCUAACAGGCUUGCCUCGCCUGGCGGCUUGAUUUCAGUACCCAGUCUGACCUUGAAGUGAUACGACCUUCGACUUGAAGACUUGAAGAUACAGAGCUUCCAGAAAUGGCCUUUUAAAUGGAUGGGGUCUGUUCAUCUCUUUGGAAUUAAUAGCUUUUCUUUUCUGGAUGUUCAGUGCUGAGGGGAAAGGCAAUGUCUCAACAGAUAGCUACUACAGCAGACCAACACUUCAGCUUUUCAAGGAAGCUCCAUGAAUUUGCUGCAAACACUCACCGUACCUCCUGGGAAGACAAGCUUGAAUUCUCUGUUCUUUUCUGUUACAUCAUGAUUCACACCUUGUAUGCAGUGCGAUGGUGAAGGGCUGCUGGUUCCUGCCUGGCUCCGUAAGCAAGAGCUUGUUGAGACUGGAAUCAGAAUUGCUUUGUUUCUGAAACAGGGUCUCAUACGAUAGCUCACGUUGGCCUGUGCUUCCCUGUGUAGCCCAGGCUAGCCUUCAAGUCCAGAUUCUCCUGCCUCAGUCUCUCAAGUGCUUGGAUUACAGGUGUGUGGUAUGAUGCCUUGCUCCUAAAAAUCAAAUUUGUGAAGGAGGCUGUUUCGGGAACAGAACCUGGGUUUGGAGGGACAUGAGUGACCAUGACAAAAGGAAUCUGGUCUGGAGAGGCUCACUGGAACUUCCUUGUCUGUAUGUAAUGGGCAUCAUGCUUGCGCACAGGGGGCACUUUGUGCACAUUUGUUGAGAGUCGUAUGGAUGAGAUGUCACAUGGCAUGUGGCGACAGUGGCCGACUGCCUUUACAAGUGCCAUUUGGCAGGUGUUCUGGUUUCCUUUCUGUUGCUGUGAUUAAAAACAAAACAAAACAAAACAAAAACCACUGUGUUCUGGUUUCCUUUCCAUUCAAACCUGGGAAAGAGUUCACCCGGCUUAAGCUUCCAGGUCACAGUCUGUCACUGAAGGAAGCCAGAGCAGCAACUCAGAGGCAGAAACAUGGAAGAAUGCUGCUCACUAGUUCACUCACUGGCUUAUGCUCAA